CGUUAAAAAUUUAGGUUAGGGUUAAAUCUCCAUGGAAACGGCAUAUUCUUUCGUUCAUAACAAAUAAUUUCCUUUUCCUUUUUUAAAUUUUUUUCUUUAUUAAAAGUAACUGUUUACAAAACGUUGUACCUCAUUUAAUAGUUUAAAAUUUUACUUACCAUUUUUUGAAAAAAUUAAACGCAGUAGAUAAGAAUUUGUUUAAUAUCUAGAAGAAAUGCAGAUUCAAUGUGAUUCAAAGUACAAAUUAACGUGACUUGUGCCUUGACACUAUUUGUCAAAUACUCUGGUCAAAUAUAUUAAGUUAAAUCCCUUGAAAUCGAUAAUAUGAGAAUAUUCUGUAGAGGUUUUAAUUUGUAUAAUCAAUUAAAUUCACCUGAAGUCUGUGUUGAAGAAUUUGAACCUACGAUUGAAGAGGAUUCUAUACAAUAUUUUGAAAUAAAGCAUAGUUUUUCAGUUAUCGUUUCCAAUGAUAUAAUAAAAGUGUUUUGUAACUGUUUGGAAAAUAAUGUUGUAGACUGUAAACGUAUACAAGAUAUUAAGUGUAUCACAGCUAAUGAAGAUGCUGUGAUAGUGGCCAACAGUUCUGGCCAAUUGUAUAAAAUUUCUGUAGAUGAUCUUAAUCAAAUUAGUUUGCUUCCAAAAUUUAUUGAUGAUAAUCGUGUAGUAAGAAUGUUAAGUUGUGGUGCCAAGUUAAAUAUAGCAUAUACAAGUGAAGGACUUCUUUAUACUAUUCCUGAAAAAGUUAACUUUAAAAGUGAAGAUAUUGUUGAAAUAAAAACAGGUAGAGAACACUGUUUAUUAUUAGAUAAGUUAGGUAAUGUUUAUUCGUUUGGUAGAGGUAGUCGUGGACAACUUGGUCUUGGCGAACUAGAAGAUGAACUUACUCCCCAACUAAUAGAGGCCUUGGCAGGUAUCAAAAUAGCUACUAUAGCAGCUGGUGGUUGGCAUUCGGCAGCUGUAAGUGCAGAAGGUGAUUUGUAUAUAUGGGGAUGGAAUGGAAAUGGCCAGUUAGGACUUACCGAACCCUCUGACAAAGAUGCAGUUCAAGUUUUAGCAACACCACAAGUUGUGGAUAUAAAAGAUUGUUCUGAAAGACAAGUCGUUAAGGUUGCCUGUGGUUAUAGGCAUACAAUAAUAUUGCUUGGUAUGGUAUUGAUGUCUAAAUUACAGUAUCUACUGGGUUAAGUUCAUGCCAGCACAAGAAAAGUGUUUAGAAUGUAAAGCAGGAACACGUUUUCAUGUAACUGAUUUCAGUUAUUCUAAAGAUAAUAAUCAUUUGUAUGGUUCUGGCUGGAAUAAAUAUAAGCAAUUAAAGAAAGAGGAAGAAGAGAAUUUCCAUAAAUUUACUUUUAUACAUGAUUUUUCUAAUGAAGUG